CUUGAAAAAGGGAGUUCAAGAAGAGCUUCGAAGAAGCUUUCUUGAUGGAGGGGAGUGGCAGACGGGUGAGUAACGCGUGGGAACAUACCCUUAUCUUCGGAACAACUCCGGGAAACUGGAGCUAAUACCGAAUGUGCCCUUAGGGGGAAAGAUUUAUCGGAGAAGGAUUGGCCCGCGUUGGAUUAGCUAGUUGGUGGGGUAAAGGCCUACCAAGGCGACGAUCCAUAGCUGGUCUGAGAGGAUGAUCAGCCACAUUGGGACUGAGACACGGCCCAAACUCCUACGGGAGGCAGCAGUGGGGAAUAUUGGACAAUGGGCGCAAGCCUGAUCCAGCCAUGCCGCGUGAGUGAUGAAGGCCUUAGGGUUGUAAAGCUCUUUCAGUGGGGACGAUAAUGACGGUACCCACAUAAGAAGUCCCGGCUAACUUCGUGCCAGCAGCCGCGGUAACAC
rnacentral:rRNA from 1 species